CUCAAGAUUAAGCCAUGCAUGUGCAUGCACAAGCCGAUUGAUGGUGAAGCCGCGAAUAGCUCAUUACAACAGCCAUCGUUUAUUGGAUCUUGAAUGUUUACUUGGAUAACUGUGGUAAUUCUAGAGCUAAUACAUGCCUCGAGUCUCCGACCUUACGGGAGGAGCGCAUUUAUUAGAACAAAACCAAUGGGGCUCUCGGGCCCUUGGUUUGGUGAAUCUGAAUAACUGCGCCGAUCGCACGGUCCUCGUACCGGCGACAUAUCUUUCAAGUGUCUGCCUUAUCAACUUUCGAUGGUAGUUUAUGUGCCUACCAUGGUUGUAACGGGUAACGGAGAAUAAGGGUUCGACUCCGGAGAGGGAGCCUGAGAAACGGCUACCACAUCCAAGGAAGGCAGCAGGCGCGCAAAUUACCCACUCUUGGCACAAGGAGGUAGUGACGAAAAAUAACGAGACGGUUCUCUCAGAGGCCCGUCAUCGGAAUGGGUACAAUUUAAACCCUUUAACGAGGAUCUAUUGGAGGGCAAGUCUGGUGCCAGCAGCCGCGGUAAUUCCAGCUCCAAUAGCGUAUAUUAAAGUUGUUGCGGUUAAAAAGCUCGUAGUUGGAUCUGCGGACUCGACGGCCGGUCGCCCACAGGGUUUGUACUGGUCUAUGUCGAGGCCUACUCGGUCGGAUUUGUUCGCAGUGCUCUUGAUUGAGUGCUGUUGAAUGGCCGACACGUUUACUUUGAAAAAAUUAGAGUGCUCAAAGCAGGCUCUUGCCUGAAUAGUGGUGCAUGGAAUAAUGGAAUAGGACCUCGGUUCUAUUUUGUUGGUUUUCGGAGCGUGAGGUAAUGAUUAAGAGGGACGGACGGGGGCAUUCGUAUUGCGGCGUUAGAGGUGAAAUUCUUGGAUCGCCGCAAGACGGACAACUGCGAAAGCAUUUGCCAAGAAUGUUUUCAUUAAUCAAGAACGAAAGUUAGAGGUUCGAAGGCGAUCAGAUACCGCCCUAGUUCUAACCGUAAACGAUGCCAACUAGCGAUCCGCCGGUGUUAUCUUGUACGACUCGGCGGGCAGCUUUCCGGAAACGAAAGUGUUUCGGUUCCGGGGGAAGUAUGGUUGCAAAGCUGAAACUUAAAGGAAUUGACGGAAGGGCACCACCAGGAGUGGAGCCUGCGGCUUAAUUUGACUCAACACGGGGAAACUCACCCGGCCCGGACACCGUAAGGAUUGACAGAUUGAGAGCUCUUUCUUGAUUCGGUGGGUGGUGGUGCAUGGCCGUUCUUAGUUGGUGGAGCGAUUUGUCUGGUUAAUUCCGAUAACGAACGAGACUCUAGCCUAUUAAAUAGUGCGCGGAUCCGCCCUGUCCGCUGCACUUCUUAGAGGGACAAGCGGCAUAUAGCCGCACGAAAUUGAGCAAUAACAGGUCUGUGAUGCCCUUAGAUGUCCGGGGCCGCACGCGCGCUACACUGAAGGAUUCAACGCGCCUAGUGUUCCUUGUCCGAAAGGAUUGGGUAACCUGUUGAAACUCCUUCGUGAUUGGGAUAGGGAAUUGGAAUUAUUUCCCUUGAACGAGGAAUUCCCAGUAAGUGCGGGUCAUCAGCUCGCGUUGAUUACGUCCCCGCCCUUUGUACACACCGCCCGUCGCUACUACGGAUUGUAUGUUCUCAUGAACAGUUUGGACCGUGCGGAAUGGCUUUCGGGCCGUUUCUGUUUCGGAAAGACCUGUAAGUGGGAAUAUAUAGACGGAGUAAAAGUCGUAACAAGGUAGC
rnacentral:rRNA from 1 species